CUUUCAAGUAAAUCCAUACCCCCAACAGAAGUGUCCAUCCGGUGAAGCAGGAUGUCGGUGGGUGGCGUAAAAAGGGUGCACAACUGAGCCAAAUCACUUAACCAGAAACGCCCACAGGGGUGAACAUGCCCAAAGGGAGGCAUGUCUGCCCAAAGAAUUGGAAGGCCAGCCUGGCGUAAAUGCAUGUCAUGCUACCUGCCAAUCAUGCAGGCUGGACAACUAAGGGCAUACUAUGUAGACAGCACCCUGAGCUUGACAUAAAUAUGUCUAAUAAUGCGCUUUCUCCUCGCUUUCUAAGGACUGUCCCCUAGCACUCAUUUGUCUACUCCUCACCCUACAUUUUUACUAGCAUAUAGUCUAGGACAGAGAAAAGUUGUAUGUAGUGAGUGUAGAAGCACAUGCCACAGUGUUAGAAAGACUGAAGCAGAAAGAGCAUUUGCAUAGGGCGCUAAGUCAGCUUUACCUUAACUAAUGCCAUUGUCAGCUAGCCCAUACAAGUUUUGUUCCCCUACAUCCCUCUUAAGUUUACAUACUUAAGCAAGAGCAUGUGAAGAGUAGUAAAAAAAAAAAAAAAAAAAAAACAUUCUUAGACCUAUUCCAUAGGCAUGGGCCCGGAGCUGCAGCUCCAUCAGCCCCUAUGUUAAUCCGGCCCUGAUCAUAGCAGAUACUAAAUUACAACCAAACAUUGUAAUGGCAUUAUUCCAUAUCGGCUUGUCUAAAUUGCCGGUAGGAACUAGAGAGGUAAUCCUCCAUAUGCUUUUAGCCAGCAAACUCCACUUAGUAAGAAAAUGGAGGACAGAGGAAGAUUUAGAUUUAAAAGAUAUAUUCUUACAAACGGAACAUCAAGCAUUAAUGGAAAAAGGCUAUUAUCUGAAUAAUAAAAUGGGUUUGGAAGGAUAUUGGAAGAAAUGGUCAAUAUGGUUAAAAAACAACAACCUAAUUCUCGCAAAUAUUAAUGAAACCUAUUAAGGAUUAUAAUACUAUAUGUAUAUUUAGAAGGUAAAGACACAAAGGUGCCCCCUCUCUCUGCAACAGAAGGAAUGAAUGUGUAUGUAUGAUGGUAUGAAUGUUUAAGUCAUCAGGUCUUCCAAAUAAUGAAAUUAUAGUUAAUCCUCGCUAAGAGCAGUAUUUGUUAUUAAAGCAGCAAUUUUUGAAUUUUAGAACUUCACAUAUAAAAAUGUUUAAUACAAGAGAGGAG